GCAGGCUGCCCAAGCCAGCAGUGGCAACCCGCUCCAGUCCCCUUCCAUGCUGUGGAAAGUUUGUUCUUUUGCUCUUUGCAAUAAAACUUGCUGCUACUCACUCUUUGGGUCCAUACUGCCUUUAUGAGUUGUAACACUCACUGCAAAGGUCUGUACUCCUGAAGCCAGCGAGACCACAAACCCCCCGGGGAAGAACAAACAACUCCAGACGUGCUGCCUUAAGAGCUGUAACACUCACCGCGAAGGUCUGCAGCUUCACUCCUGAAGCCAGCGAGACCACGAACCCACCAGAAGGAAGAAACUCUGAACACAUCCAAACAUCAGAAGGAACAAACUCCAGACACGCCACCUUUAAGAACUGUAACACUCACUGCGCGGGUCCACGGCUUCAUUCUUGAAUUUGUGUAUGGCAGAUCUUGUCUACAGAUGUU
rnacentral:lncRNA from 10 species